rnacentral:tRNA from 1 species
AGUAAGAUAAGCUAAUUAAGCUUUUGGGCCCAUACCCCAAAAACGAAGGUUAAAAUCCUUCUCUUACCA